rnacentral:tRNA from 1 species
AUUUUUAUAGUUAAAAAACAACAAUUGUUCUUCAAACAAUAGGUUUGAGUUAAAAUCUCAAUAAAAAUG